GAUGAACGCUGGCGGCGUGCCUAAUACAUGCAAGUCGAGCGAACGGACGAGAAGCUUGCUUCUCUGAUGUUAGCGGCGGACGGGUGAGUAACACGUGGAUAACCUACCUAUAAGACUUGGAUAACUUCGUGAAACCGGAUCUAAUACCGGAUAAUAUUUUGAACCGCAUGGUUCAAAAGUGAAAGACGGUCUUGCUGUCACUUAUAGAUGGAUCCGCGCUGCAUUAGCUAGUUGGUAAGGUAACGGCUUACCAAGGCAACGAUGCAUAGCCGACCUGAGAGGGUGAUCGGCCACACUGGAACUGAGACACGGCCCAGACUCCUACGGGAGGCAGCAGUAGGGAAUCUUCCGCAAUGGGCGAAAGCCUGACGGAGCAACGCCGCGUGAGUGAUGAAGGUCUUCGGAUCGUAAAACUCUGUUAUUAGGGAAGAACAUAUGUGUAAGUAACUGUGCACAUCUUGACGGUACCUAAUCAGAAAGCAACGGCUAACUACGUG
rnacentral:rRNA from 1 species